CCUACGGGCGGCAGCAGUAGGGAAUAUUGGGCAAUGGACGCAAGCCUGACCCAGCAACGCCGCGUGAAGGAAGAAGGCUUUCGGGUUGUAAACUUCUGUUGUCAGGGAAGAGUAACAGACAGUACCUGCCGAAUCAUCCACGACUAACUACGUGCCAGCAGCCGCGGUAAUACGUAGGUGGCAAGCGUUGUCCGGAUUUACUGGGUGUAAAGGGCGUGUAGCCGGGUUGACAAGUCCGAUGUGAAAUCCUGCGGCUUAACCGAAGAACUGCAUUUGAAACUGUUGAUCUUGAGUACUGGAGAGGAGGACGGAAUUCCUAGUGUAGCGGUGAAAUGCGUAGAUAUUAGGAGGAACACCAGUGGCGAAGGCGGUCUGCUGGACAGUAACUGACGGUGAGGCGCGAAAGCGUGGGGAGCAAACAGGAUUAGAUACCCGAGUAGUC
rnacentral:rRNA from 1 species